CGGACGGGUGAGUAACGCGUAAAGAACUUGCCCUUUAGACUGGGAUAACAGAGGGAAACUUCUGAUAAUACUGGAUAAGUUAGUAUAUCGCAUGAUAUGCAAAUGAAAGCUACGGCACUAAAGGAGAGCUUUGCGUCCUAUUAGCUAGUUGGUAAGGUAAGAGCUUACCAAGGCGAUGAUAGGUAGCCGGCCUGAGAGGGUGGACGGCCACAAGGGGACUGAGAUACGGCCCUUACUCCUACGGGAGGCAGCAGCC
rnacentral:rRNA from 1 species